ensembl:lncRNA
GUGGUUCUAAUCAAAACAACGCAUUUUCAAAACUCUUUACAAAUGCCGUUGGGUUAAACAGUGCGAUAUGUUUUUAUCUAAUGUAAAGGUUAUUCCUGCUCCGGUAAAUGUCUGUGUAUCUUUUAUAGUUCGCUUCAUACCGAUUGUUUAAACUGUAACGGUUUAAAUAUAAUUUGUUAACAUUAGUUGGUAGCUGCUACAGGUCGGAAUUGCUUUAUUAUUAAGUUUUGUUUUUCUUAACAGAAUAUUAUUAACGCUCAUAACAGUUACGUUGAUACUUUUACGCCUGUUGAGGCUAAAAGGCUAAACUGCAGCUUGAUGAUUAAUAUUUGUCCACCAUGAAAGGACAUUUGUUGUCCAGUGAACGUGUAAAUUACACACUGCUACAGACAGGAGACCUGUCCAUGAGAUGAGUGACAGGAGCGGAUCAUGUGCAAGGCCACAGUUCUAGCUGUGAUGAAGAUGGAGGGAAAGUUUAAGUCAAAAGGAUUUGGGACAGUUUGAUGUCUACAAAUGGUUUUCUGUUGGACCCCUGGCACAGCACUCCUGUGAAAAAGUCAUCGGUCUUUCGCUCUGCACAACAAAGGGCAAACACAGCCUGCGUGUUAACACAGGCUUCAGGGUGAAACUUUUUCACGAGCGUCCUCCGGUUUGCUUGUUGUCCAGAAAAGCUGAAAAGACGCCAAAUUGUCAUGGAAAUUAGACAACACUCGCAGACUCGUCCUCUGAAGGUAAAAAGGUUUAUUACAGAAAGAUGGUUAAUACAGGAUAGAAUAAUGAGAGUUUUCUAAAGCGCUUGUGCUGAACCACUACUAUAUAAUAAAAUAUGAAACGCAGAGCAUGACACACUUCUGUUUACCGAUAAGAAGUGGUUUGAGGCAGUUCAAACAGGCUUUGUCUUAGAGUCUUAGAAGAUGUGCAGAUGAACCUUGUU